UACGGAGGGGGCUAGCGUUGUUCGGAAUUACUGGGCGUAAAGCGCACGUAGGCGGACUAUUAAGUCGAGGGUGAAAUCCCAGGGCUCAACCCUGGAACUGCCUUCGAUACUGGUAGUCUAGAGAUCGAGAGAGGCGAGUGGAAUUCCGAGUGUAGAGGUGAAAUUCGUAGAUAUUCGGAGGAACACCAGUGGCGAAGGCGGCUCGCUGGCUCGAUACUGACGCUGAGGUGCGAAAGCGUGGGGAGCAAACAGG
rnacentral:rRNA from 1 species